rnacentral:lncRNA from 1 species
AGGGCAUAUGUACUGAACGCGUGUCCCACGUACAAAUUCCGUUUAGGUCAAGUUCCUGCCGUCCAAUGGGCGGGAUGUCACGUCAUAUGACGUGCUAAUAGACACAGGAAAUGCGGAUGGAUCACGGGCGCUGCAGAGCCCACAACGGAGACCGAAGCCGCAGAAGCUUCCCCAUCGGGGUCUGAUUAAAUGGAUUUCCGCUUCAUUUCAUUUUGUACAUCAUUUGCACAACAGUAAAUCCACAACGCCAUGUCACAAACGCAAUCCCAAGAUCCCGAAGUGCGUUCCUCUUUCCGUUCCUCUGGAUAGUUUACCUGCAUGUCUGUCUGUCUGACUUCCUGUCUGUCGGUCGCCUAAAACGUUCCCGCCAAGUCCCAACGGUACGGGUACCCUUCACAUCGCCGCGUACGGCAUCCCUACAGUCGUACUGCGCCUGAUGCCUUGACUCUUAACUUGGUUUCGCCCUGACUCUUAACCACGCUUCACAGCCAAAGAAGAAUUCGACUUGGCUCAAAAAUUGAAGAACCUGCCCUCCGUCUCUUUCCUCAUGAGGCUCAUGUACUCCUCACACCGCACAGAGGUCAGGUUAGGUCAGGUCGAGAGACACGCGCAUGAGCCGAACCCGCCACAACACCUUCAUCUGAACGGGUGGAGGUGUCGGCUCUCCCCCACCAUCACCAUCUUCGUCCCGCCUCUAUGCCAAACAUGAGCAGUGAAGUGAAGCGGGGCCUUUUCACAGCGACCCAAACACUGUUCCGCUAGUGUUGGUCUGCCGCAAAUUUGUCCAUGUCUCUACCUGGUUCCGAGACCUUAUAUUAUGACACAGCAUCAGUAUAAGAAAUGAUCCUUGGUCGCGCUACGCGUAAAACCGCCCCGACUGCUUCACUAAUCACCAUCAAAGCGCUUCUAUCCACAUGCCGCAUGUCUGGUCUGGGUUGACACUACUGCAAUUAGCGGUUUAAGGUCCUGGGUUCGAUUCCUGGCGAGACCCCCGAAUUAGUCGGGAGCGCGAGAUUAUGGCUAGCUGCUGAGAUGUGGAGUUGAGGUCACAGUUGAUGGACCAGAUUCGCACGCUGGAUUGGUGGCGAUUGCCGAACCCUCCGUCUCUCCGGGUGUUCGGGUGAAUGGAUGAGGAGGGGUCCCUGAAGGCUGGAUCCGCCGCCUUGGACUUACAGUUCGUAUGGCGAAGACAGUGUGGUAGUGGUGGAUGGUGCUAUAAGGUGAUAAAUGAUCGUAGAACUGACAAUGUGAUAAAGCGGCCCAGAAGCCUCCCACUCUGUAACAUUACAUUACAUUACAUUACAUGCCGCAUGUAACAUUAGACACGCGCUUUUUGUCAAAUGGUGGUAUAACAUACAACCAGAAAAAUUGAGCGCAUGCAACUGCAAAUCGCUAUGUACACAUCCCUGCACGGGUUGCGUGGGCUCCGCAUGCCCGAGACGACGGCGCCCAAUCCCUGCUUUGCUGCGGAUGUGCUCACCGCAACCCGCAAGCCACGCCAGCAGCUGCAAAUGCUGUAUAAUAAAAUAUAGAUCAUUGAUAAUAAAAAAUAACAACGAAAAAUGUUAAAUGAUCACCGGCAAAGGUCCAUUGGGCUGACGUACGCGUUGGGCAUCGUACGGCCAGCCGCGCCCAGCCCGCGUCCGUCCGACGAGAAGCGCUGCCUGUGCAUCCCUGUGUAUGUCCUGCAGCAGUACGACACAACAGAGUGCAGCAGGUUUGCAGCUUUGGACCUCCGUAUGGCUACGGACAACAAGGAAAACCCUGCCCAUCGGAAUACAACACGUGGGAUGCACCGUUGCCGUACUUUACUUACGAUGGGUCAUUCAGGCGGUCAAAGAUGCUCCGCCGGUCCCCAACCUCACUUGCGCGCCCCGGUCGCGGCUGGGAGUUGUUUCCGCUGGAGUGGGCGGCAGGGGCUCCGGAGGCUGAGGAUCGCAUCGCCCCGCGGCCCACGGAGGAGGGGCGCGGAGAGGGCGUGCUGGGCGCGGGUGGCGCCCCAGGCGAGGACACGCUGAGCGCGGGGCCUUGAGGUGACGAAGCGCCGGGAGAGGACAGCGGUGCGGCUCCAGAACCACCGUCAUUACUCGGACUGCGAUGAUAGAGCACCAGCGAUGCGCCGCGGCCUGAUCGGUAACCUAAUCGCGAUUGCGGUUGCAAGAACAACAGGGCGGCGGCGGCGACGACGGCGGCAGGAGUGUAAAGCGGGCACGAGAGCAGACGUGGUCAUGAGAUCUGUUCAAUUGGACUUUUACAGGACGUCCUCACAGUCCACGGGGGAGGGCCUUCCAGUGACGUGGAGGGGCUGGGUGUGGGAGGCCAAUUUGGAGGUUGAUGGUGUGUGAAGGUACGGCAACAAUCCGGGAGAAGAACAUGGAGUGGGGUUGGAGCGGUCGGGGCUCGAGAGCAUGACUCUGGGCUAAGGCAUGGCGCAUGGGCCACCAUCUAACUUGGAUGCUUCAAUGAAUGGUUGCAGACCCGCGCUCCAGGUGCACGAGGAUGGGUCAAGAGCCGUAUCGGAAGUAAAUUCCGAUAAGCCCUGGUACGGUACGCAGCGCACCUGUCCCUGAGGCGACAUGGAGGUUGGGUCGGGUGAUCUGGCUCAGGUCUGCCACUGCACUGCCUGGGGCACCCGCGAUGAAGCCUGAGCCUUUGGAGAUACGGUCGCGACCUGUGCAAUCGGACGACGGAAGGGCAGGUAGUUAAUUAACGCAGAUGGAACAGAGUAGUUAGAUAUUUGCAAAGCGCAGGUUUAAAAUUUACCUGAAAGUCCGCGGCCGUUGCCGUUUUCAUCAAAACGGUGCUUGUGUGUGCCGGUGUACACUGCGUAAGGCAAAGAGUUUUACCGGCGAAUUGUUUAUCGGGAUAACUAAGGUCGUGGUGCUGACAGACAGCAGCAAGAGCAUAUUGCGGCAUAGCGGAUCCUGAGGGGCGUGAGAAAAGUAGCGACAUGUUGAAUGCUCGCGGCAGGUGCUACACCCAGCCGCUGGCUGACGAGACGUAUCGCCUUGAGAUUUAGGGAUAGUGACGAAGCUUAGGUGCUUUUACGCGGAAUGGGGAUAGUGUCGAGGACUUUAGUAAGACAUCCGACUCGCGAGGAACCUGGACGAAGCACACCAGCACUUCGCAUCCUGGUAAAGGAAGACUUACAUGAAGAAUCCGUCAGCCUGUCGAAAAUGCUUGCAUGUCGCGAUUUCGGCAUCAUUUUUGGGUAGUUUAGUCUAGCCAAUGGCCUACCACUUUCAGAAAAGUUCAAAGGUCUGAUACAGCCUCAGAGCUUGUGGUGAGAUGGUGCAAUUUAUUCGGAGAUAUGUGUGUAUAAGGACGCUCCCAGUUGUUAUACGGCUCUAUCUAAGUGAGUAAGGCAAAGGGCUAAAUAAAUUUAUUCCGUACAAAACAAUGCUCGUACUAAUACCAACCACCGCUGAUGAAGCGGCAGUCGCAGCAAUGGCAAUGUCAGCUCCGAAGUCUUUGAAAACCUUCUGUUUUUGGCAAGAAUGUGUUUACAAGAAAACAAGUACCACAAGUAAACACAUGUCAGAAGAGGGCCGGGCGAGCUGCAAACGACCUUCGUCUGAACUACAGCGGAAGCGGCCGACGGCCCCAUAUCAGUCUGCCAGCGAGUAAAACUAAUCUUAACAUGCAAGAAUGCACCCAUUCAACCGGUUAGGCGUACAACAACGUCCGGCCUUCCCUCAAGUUUCUGCGUCUGCCCUGCUGAAAUGACCUUGCCGUUGCAAGCAAGAGUGCGCUCCUCCGACUGCACAUGUCUGUAUAUUUAGGCCCUGUCUAAUGUUCAGAAGCCAACUAUCGCCGAGACAAAAGAGCGCUCUACAUACGCUCCUCCCUCUUGACCCGACAUCCUGGCGGCUUCUCCGUGUCCGAAAACUGAUAUCGCCCCAAAGGCGUAAUCGCCCGCGUCACCGUUUGGUUUCACCUCCCUUCACCCGAAACCUUGGUCAGCCAAAAUUUCGGAACGGCAGUCCAUUCUUCGUGCCGUCGCUAAACGCACCUUUAGCCGGCUCGGCAGCGCCAUAGCAUCCCAAGGACCACUUUGGAAUCCCUGUAAUACCGCCAAUCACUCUCAGCUCAGCCCCUCCCCCUUCCAGCUGAUCGGCGCCCUCUUUGACCCGCUUGCGGUCGCUCCGCUAUCCGGUCCUCGGGCUACGAGGCCCGGAGGCACUACACCGACUACACCAAAGUCAUCGUCACCACCAUCCUUCCCACCUAGCUCCCCACCUAAAACCCCUUUACAGUGAACACCUCAAAUACUCGACAAGUCCUUGCUCCCUUCAAGCUGCUGUUAAACUGCUAUUGUCCGUUGCACUCUGCGCCACUACGGGAUUAAAGCAGGCGCGGCCGAGCAGCCGUUCCAAUCAAAGCCCACACCAAACUGCGACCAACGAAGCGCGCCGGCACCCAUCCCGGAUGCCAUCACACCGCACGCCAUUGCACCAAACAUCGAGCCACACGACAUGCAUGACACACCCCAUACAACCGGCAUCGUCCGUGCCUUUUCGUAAUCAAGGAACGGCAGCCUCGGCUAUCGUUGGCCUUCCAUAACACAUCGCGUCGCCCAAAACGCAUUCACGUCGCAUCCUUUCACAGGGCCAGGUUCCCGAAAUCCAAGUCGCUUAGGUCAAACUUGGGUGGCGAGGCCAUGGGCGGGAUCUCGUACAGAUGACUGAGACUAGUCAGGUCAUCAUCCGCCAGGCUGCUGCCCGUAUCUGAAGUGAAACUGCUACUGGGCAUUGGAGCCGGAGGUGGUGGAGGGAUUACCGUGUCCGUGAUGGCGCUGGUGCCAUAAUCAUGCCCUUGGCCCUGCCCUGUGCCAUUGCUUAGAUAGGAACGCCGGGUGGUACCGCCGGUGCUGUCAGCUUCGGUGGUUUUGAAGACAACAAUGGGAUCCGGCUCUGCGCGCAGUUGCAAAGGACAAAGGCGGGAAUGUUUCCCUUACAAGCGGGGCUCGCGGUGCAGGGUGGAGUGAAGGGAGGGAGGGAGACGUGGCGCAUUAAGAGCGGGAUUCGUUUUAACACAUGGACUGUGAUCAUCAGAUGACUGCGCUUUAACACGGCACAGGACAAAGCAACAUUAUUGCGUGACACACGGCGAACUUACCGUACAUCCCGUACUGCGCAGCAUCAGCUUCUACCAAGACGCGGCCGCCGCUUCCCACGGCGAAGCCUUCUGAGCUGAGCAGCCCCAACCGAAGCAGCGGCGGAGACGAAUCUUCCCAGGCCUCUACUCCUGUUACCCCCGCUGGAGCUCUAGACGCCGCCCGCGCCGGCGCCUCCGGCAGGGAAGAUCCCGUGGUGCCGGCGCCUCCGCCGGCGAUAGCAGCAAUUCCACUGCCAUUUCCGCAUUGCCUGUAACCUGUGCGCCUGUCUUGAGCUUGGAGGUGGUGCCCGUCGUCGCUGCCGCGGUGGGAGGACGAGCUGGAUUGCCCCCGGCCCGCUGAGCGCAUGUCCAGCCCGUCGACUUGCAACAGCUGGUGCUGGUACUGUUGUUGAUAUUGCGUGGACGGUGGCGGAGUCGGCAGCCGUGUCAACGCCUCCGCCUCUGACAGCAGCUCCGCCAGUUGUCCGCAUCGAUCCCGGUACUGCAGCAAGAGUUGGCGUCGCCGGGAGGAAGCCAGCUGACUGGUACUUGCCGCAACGACGCUCCCGGCACCGUCCGCGCGUGUGUCGCCGUAGCUGGCGUGCGCCCCGGCGGCCCCGGCAUAGAGGCAGGUGGCGCGUAGCGCGGUCACGAGUGCGUGGAGCGAGUGCACCUGUCCAUUGCACGGGCAGGAGGCCGAAUAGGUAUGACGGGCUAGAAUGGGCGUGCGGUUUCAGGAAGAUCGAGCAAGGAUGGGCAAGGAUGGGGAUUGCUAUGAGGAUCAUCAACGUUCAGUAGCCUGGGAUCUUGCAACCAGGGGCCAAUCGAAUAUACUAGACAUACUUGUUUUCUGUCCGGGAGGCGCUUGCUGUUGGGGGUUCUCGCUGCUCUUUGCCAGGCGCACGAGAGGACGGCGGCGGGGAACUGCAAAGCUGAAGGUUCCUGACUGCAAUCUGCAACCCCCCAACAAACCCCCAUGUACGGGGGUCAUCCUUCAAGCGCAGCUGCCAGCAGGUUUCUUGCCGCAUGUCCCCCGGCAUUCUCACCUCUUCAUUGUGCGCCCAAAACUCCUCGUCGCUUUUAACCCGCCCGGCCGCUGCAGCGGCCUGCGCCUCCGCCACAGCCUCCGCCAGCCGGCUCUGCGCCGCCGCCUCCGACACCUUUAUCAGGGCCGCUAACCGGGACCGAGCCGACGCCAGCUCACCCCGCAGCACCCGACACCGCGCCCGCAGCAUCAGCAGGUCCUCCAGCUCGUCGUCAUCAUCGUCGUCCUCGGCCAUGGCUGGCUCCUGAGGAGACCCGUCAGCAGGGCUCUGAAGCGCGAUUGCCCCUGCUGCCGCCGCCUCCUUCAAGCGCUCCGGUGAGGCUCCCCCGCUGGUACCCGCAUCGCUGCUGCUGGUACUACAGCCGUGAAACGGCUUCGCUGUCGCGACUGCCGCCGCCGACCCCACCAGCUGCGCCCGCAGCUCGUUGAGCUCUUCAUCGUACCGCUUUUCUGCAAGCCGCUGCGCCGCCUCCGCUGCCUGCAGUUGCUCUUCAAGCUGCCGCAGCCGCGCCUCGGCUUUCGACAGGUCCUGCAAGCGCGCCUCUGUGCUCGUCGCCCCAACAGUGGCAGCAGCGGCGACAUCCUUCUCUGCAGCUCGCUGCAAUAUUGCUAGCUGCUCUUCCAACUCCGUCACCCGCUGUUGCGCUUCCGCCAAGGAGCUCUGCAGCCGCAACGUCUCUGAUACAUGGUGCUCCUGGGCCGCCGCAGCCUUGGACUCCGACUGCGCCAAUCGCGCCUCCGCCUCCGCCAGCUCCGUCUUCACAGCCUCCAGCUCCGAAUGAAGUGCUUUCAGCUGGGCCCCUAGCCUCUCGGCUUCCUGCUCUGAAACCCCCCCCUCCUGCGAGAGCAGCUGCCCUGCCGCCGCCAGCUCACGACGCCCUGCCUCGAGCUCCGAAAGCAUUUCCUCCUCUACGUCAGCUGCCGUUGCUGGCUCCUGCUCGCCCACGGUCCCGCGCGCAGUGGCGUUGGUCUCUGCCUGUGCCUCUGCGUCAGGCAACACGACAGCGGCUGCCAGCGCCGCCGCCAGCGUGUCGCGCUCCGACUCCACCUGCCGCAACCGUUCCACGGCGUCCUCCAUCUCCCGUUGCGCUUUGAGUUUCUCGCUAUUGGCCGCCUUGACGUCGCGCGACGCCGCCGUCGCUUCGCCGCGCGCCACCUGAGCCUCCGAGCGGUACUCGCGCAAAUCCGACUGCAGACGCGCGAUACGUUGCCGCGCAGUCUCCAGGUCUUUGGUCAGGCCCUCACGCGCCUUCCGCUCCCGUUGCUCCAUGUCACCGAGACGCCCCUGCAGCUCUGCGUUAGCGGUGGUCAUGGCAGCCAGCUGUGACUCCAGGGAGGCGAUGUUUUGGCCCGCCUCCGCCAACUCCGCUGCCAUUCGGUCAUUCUCCGAAACCAGGCGAGCUGCAUCGGAGCUGGCGGCGUGCGCGUUGGUAGCGUCGACCGCCGCCUUGGCCUCCGCCAGAUGCCGAGCCUCCAGCAGCUCUACCGUCAGAGUGUCUCUCCCCGCGACCGCCUGCUGUAGCACAAUCAGCAACACGCAUAGGAACUUAUCCUGUGCCGCCACCACUGCCUGCGCUUCCCCUCGUCCCUUCCGCGCCGCCUCCAUUGCCGUGCGCAUCUUCGUGCGGGAGGUCUCCGUUUCCACUAGAGCCGCCUGGGCUGCUUGCAGCUUCCCGCGUAGUUGAAGUCCGGCCUGCUCCACCUCCGCCAGCGCUGCUGCGCCCUGUGCAACCUGCGCCUCCGCUGUGCGGACCUCCUCCUGGCACUGCUGCAGGGCCGCGGCUGCCGCCUCGGCGGCGGUCACUACCUCCACCUGCUGCACCCUUAACCGCUCUUGCGCCUCCGCCAGCUCCGCCGUGAGGCGCGCAAUGGCCUCCUUCGCCGCCUCGAGUUCCACCGAAGCCGCCUCCUGCUGCGGGUCAUGCUGCUCAGCAGCAGCCUCUCGGCUCUGGCAUACGGGUUUCUGGUGCUGCUGGCGGCUGUGUGGACGCGACGGCCGAUGUUGUGCUUGGCGCGGACCGUGAGGGAGGUGCUGCUGCCGCUGGGCCUGCUGCUGGGGGCUCUCGCCUCCGUUCUGCGGGCAAGGAGGCGUGUGUGGAUGCAGGUCCGCCAGGCGCGUUACAGGCCGUGUGGCCCAGUCAAAGUCGUCAUCCGUGUGCCAAGAAUCGGAGCUGCUCCGCCAGGGGGUCGCCGGACGGGGCUCUUGUUGCGACUGCAUUGGUUGUUGUUGUCCCUGUGUCGAGGCAGAGGAGGGGCGCGUCGGGCCCGAGGCAGUACUGGGAGCUGCUGGUCGACGACCUUCCGGCGCAGGCGGCGGCACAGCUGCCGCGGCCGCUGAGGCCAUGGCAGCCGCCAGCAGCUCCCGCAGCCUGGCCACCUCCUCCGCCAGGUGUGUGUUCUCCUCCCGGAGCUUGGCGGCGUCCGAGUCACGACGGCGGAGCAGCUUGCCCAGAACGCGCCGCAGCUCCGGAGGCAACUGCAUGGCAAAUAUAGUACAAGUACAGAAUCAGAAGGCAUGAAACACGCGCAUGAGUCAAAAUAUUACGACUGACCAGUGAACGCUAAGAGUUCCAAGCGACUAGAACACGACACGGACUAGACCUUGCAGCAUGGCAGCCCGAAACAAAUUUUCCUUGAUAAUAAUUUCUAUCAAUCUUUUUUUCUUUAUUACCAAUCUCUACAAAGCCUCCGCCCUCCCGUCCCCCUCCACCGUCGCAUAAGGUUCAAUUCAUCCCACGUAACCACGUCCCCCAACACUGACCCCGUCCUUAAUCGACUCACAUCUCGCGCAUGUUCCUGGCUGCGGCCCCCAGGGCCAUGAUAUGAACCGUCCACAGAGCAGCUCUCCCCUGUUGGCCCUCCAUUGCCAGCAGCCGUAGCAGCUGCUGCUGCCGCCAUAGACCGGCCGCAGCUACCGUGAUCUGCUCCGUGUUGUUGGUGGUGGUGAUGGUGGUAGUGGUGAUGAGGCAACAGGCUGCCGGUGGGGCCUGCCGUUGCAGACCCCAGCCCUACCCCACCGGCAGCACCGGCACCAGUACCAGCACCAACACCGCCGCUCUCCGAGGCGCCCCCAUCCGAGGAGCCGCAGAGGUCCCGGAAAAGGACGUGGCUGCCGCCCAAAUCCUCGAAAAGCUGCGGGACAGAGAUGGCAGCGAGGUAAGGGUGAGGGACUUACCCACCCUGCCUAAUAGAGUAGCAAGCCCAGUGCACAUGCAUGACGACAGAGAGCGGACAGGUAGGGUCAGCUGGAUUUCAAUAUUUGCGAGUUCAGAAGAGCUGAAGCCAGGGUAAGAACCACGCCAACUCUUCCAACCCACCCACGCACCUCAAUUUCCCUCAGCCGCUCGGCCAAAUGCUCCGCCUGCAAGGUGGUUGCCUCCAGCUUCUCCUCCUGCUCUCGCAGCCGCCUGCGCAGCUCCUGCAGCUCCCCACUGGCCUGCUGGGACUCCGCCUGGAGCGCGUCGUUCAGCUGCCUCAGGUGCACGACGGUGGCCUCAGUGGCUGCUGCCUGCUGGGCCUUAUUCCGAAGGACCUGUGGGUAGCGGUAGACCGGAGAGGAGGACCGGAAACAGGAGCAGCGGCAAGGGAGUGAGCGCAUUUCGUGUUGAGGGGCGUGGAGGGUUAGAGGAUAGAAGGGGGUGCACUGUAGAUCAGGGCUACAUCCCUGAUGUAAGGAUAGCGGAUGGCGCGCCCAAAGUUGAAGUUAAGGGAUUGCAGAAUGGGGAUUUGGAAGAUGUGUAGUGCGCAGAUUCCGGGCAGGUCAACGGCCAGCAAGAGGGCAGCGCCGCCGCCCUUUUCCCUCGUUGCAGUGUUUCGUGACCGGCCCCCCCCCCGCCUGGUCGCAUACAUUCCCCUGCCUUCGCAGACCUCAGUCUCCGCCCCCACAGGGUCCCGUGCCCCAGACAUACAACGCCUCUCCUUUUCACUUUCCGAGGUAGCGACCCCACCACACCGCAGGGCCCCUCCCGCCCGCUUUCCUUCUGGUACCCGCAGCUUCCCUUCGGAACAACUCCACUCCGUCACCUCGCUUCGUCCCCCAAUCUUUGGCCGUCUCGUCCUUCAUCCCCUCACCCGAUCCAAGUUACGGCUUUCAAAGCAACCCUCCCCGUUCGCUGAUAUGGCGUCUUCAUAAAUCAAUGUUCGCCAAUGCCCCUGGGCCCUUUCCUCCCGCCCUGGACCAUUUCCCGUACACACCGCCAGUCCAUGAGGCCGUCCAUAGUCCGCGAGCACUUGCAUUCGUGCACAUUACUUCCCCUCCCCACCCCAUAUCGCAACGAUUUCCCCACACAUAAUCCCCCUUCUCCCCCUCGCUGCCCACUCACAUUAAGCUCUUCCUCCAUGGCCAUUCUCGCCAGCUGCGCCUCAUGCAGCUGCGAUAACAGGUGCUGACUGGCGUGCUUCUGCAGCGUCAGCUCGACCUGUAGGUUGUAAUUGUCAUUAGCCAUGCGGGUGGCGCUGGCCAUCUCCUGGGUUGUGAGUUGUGGGAAGAAAGGGGGAAAGCGGGGAAUUGAGGGCAGAAACAGUUGGACAGGACCAAAGCAAGGGACAGCACCGAUGGCGGUCUUCGGAUGUGCCACACUCGACCCCUAAACCGACAAAGCGGCGCUUCAUGUAGGCCGCGCGCCCAUAGGGGAUGGUGUAAGGGAAGUCUGAAACAAUAAGGGUGCACAGUAAAAACAUGAUGGGUGGAAACAUGCAAGUAACGAAUGUAACGCCCCCGACGAGUCGAAGACGGAAAGCCGGACGCAUCGAUAUAGCAUACGGGGAGAAGUGUGCGAGACACGCGCAGCCACAUGCGGCGUAAACACCCUAAGGCUGAACGGCAAGUCCGGGAGGGUCAUCUCAAAACCCCGAAGUUUCGACACACAGAUUCUGUCAAUGACGAGGCGGACCGAUAAUGGCCCAGAGAUGGCCAAGCCCAAAGGCUGGCAUACGCAGAGACAACCCCGUUGGUGGUCGAAGCAAUUCACCCCUUUAUGGGCGAAGAAGGUGAGCGGAGGCGUGUAUAUGUACCAUGCAGUUUGAUGAAGUGGGAGUAUCUGAAGGACGCGGUGGGGAGAAAGAGUCGAGAGCGAGCGCUUCAGGUCGGGAGGCCCAAGAUUCCCAUGGGAGGCCGUGAGACAGGGCCGGGAUCAUCGGGGGGCUCUGAGAAUAAUGAUCUGUGCGUAUACACACCUUGGCCACGCUCUUGAGCUCUGAUAUGCAAGCCUGCACCUGUUGUACUCCGCUGCUGGGGCCCGUCCCAGGCAACGAGUAGCGGCGACUCUCCAGGAGAAGUUCAAAGCUUUGCUUUAACGAGCAUGAAAGGGUCCUCAGGUCCUUCCGGAGCUGCCGGUAAACAUCUGCGCCGUUGUGGACGUCAUCGGACCCGUCACCGAGGAAAAGGGCAUCCCACUCUUUGGCAAGCUGCUCCCGAGAAUACUGGUCCAUCUGUUCAUGAAACGCAUGCUCCGGCUCGGGGCGCGUGGUUCCGCGGUGCAGCGUGAACAGACCCUCAUCUCGAGUGGGCAAGUGACUGCUCUGCUCUGGUGUGUCAAAAACUCUUGUAUCCGGCGAAUACACAGGAGGUGAGCGAGGCUGCAAGCUUGGCAUACUCCGCUGCAGCAACGGCAGCAGGACGUUGGUUACGCACAGGCGGUACUCGAAGUCGGCCCAACGAGACACCCUCUCACCAAGGACACGUUGAAAAUCUCAGGAUUAUUUGAAAAAGUCCUGCUGAGUGCUUCGGCCGCCCGCCCAUAGCUACUGGUCCCGGCCGAAUCCAUUCAACGCUAAGCUGACGACAACAGGACCUUCACUGUACGGCCCAACACCAAGCUAAGACUCGUUUGGAUUAUCGCUGCCGGGACAGGAGGCCUGACCAACACAGGUGUUGCUUCAGCAUGCUUGGAACAAGUUUAAACCUUUCAGAUCCAUACGCAGGAAUGUGAUAUGCUUUACAGGUCUUUAAACAAUUGCAAAAAGGACAAAGUUUUCCCAGGUAUAAGCCUUGGGUGCAACACAAACGUAUUAGGAGUUAUAAUACUGCAUACUAGAAAGCAUAAGAUGACGUGACUAAAUGUAUAUAUAUACCUACAGCUUAUGGAAAGAAUUUCUACAACUUUGCCAAUAUGGACGGGAGGUCAAAAUGAACCGCGAGUUAUACGUACGCAUGUUGCAAACCCAGGAAAUAGCAACCGGCUUGACAUCGAGUAUUAAGUUGGCUUACCAUAUCAUUAGUAGUCAGCUGUACGUAGCUGCCUAUCCCAUUUCCAUCAUGCGUGGGAACCCCUAACGCAAACCGAUAAUAAUAUCACAGUGACGCAAGCCUGCUUGCUCUUUCCACCCCAACAACUUGGUGCCUAUGCUACAAUUAAUUCGACCACAAUUUUGCGGCCGACGCUCAUGGCCACCAGCGUUUCGCCGGCUGCCGACUGCCUGGCGUGGCCUGCCGCGAGUCGCGCAGCCACAAAGGAGCGAUGCAACCUUGGCAGUAACUCCCAAGCGAGAAGACGGACCCAGCACAGACUUGCGCGUCAUUCUAGACCGCUUGGUUAAGGCAGGUCGCUCGCGAUUUCCGCAUGUGUGGCCCCCAAACGCUUAGCCACUCACCGCCAGCGAUUUUCCAAGAUCGCACAUCCUAUCAACGGUUCAACCCGGGACCAAAACCUGGAUUUCUGAUCGUCCCCAUAAACCAAAACCGUCGGCCCCGUACUCGCAUAUUCUUGCAUCUGCAGUUGGGUCUGCCCUACUGGCAGUCGGAGAGCUCCGCGCGCUGGAAACUUGCCGGCGUCGUGGGCCUUACGCUUGCAACUACAGCUGUAAGGUAGAUGUCGGGCCGGCUCGGGAGGGACAGAGAGAGGAAGAGACAGACUUGGAGGAAGGGAGAUCACGAGAUCACCGACUAACCGAAGCGCGAAGCGCUACCUGGGCUCAGAGAGCCACAUCAGCGAAGGGCCCCGAGGGGAAGGGUGUGGAAGCGGUGCUGACGUGGCGGCAGUCCGCAGUCCUGCCAUGGAAGGGGACCCCGUGUGCGGUGUGUCGACUUGACGCGGCAGGCGGUGACAGCUACUGAGGCUGGGGAAGCGUGGGGUCGGGAGGUGGAGCCUGUUUGUUAGGGCCAGGUGGAGCGGUGCGGGGAAGGGGGAGGCGGAGCACAGGGAUGUCCACGAGCUGCCGCUGGACUGGUGUGGUGUGUGUGUGUGUGGGGGGGGUGUUAUGUGUUUAUGUGGCGAUACGUAGGGACAUGGAAGCGUGUGUGUAUGUAUGUAUGUGCGUGUGUGUGCUAUAAGAAACGUAGCUGCAAGUAGUCAGUGGCGAGGAUGACACACACACACACUUACACGCAUGACUCCCCUCCUCCCCUCCGCUCCCUUCCUCCGGGGGCCCCCCACCACUGCAGUGUGGUGUUCAACUUCCUGGGUCGAGACUUCUUCACCGCGCUGUCCGAGAAGGACGAGGUGCAGUUCAAGUACCAGCUGGUCAAGUACCUGGGGGGCUUCGCUCUGGGGAUACCCGUGUUCGUGUUCAAGAGCUACUACCAGGUGGGGGGUCGGGGCGGGAGGGGGAGGGGGGGAGCGAGGGAGGGGAGGGGGAGGAGGGAGGGGAGGGGAGGGGGGAGCGGGGGAGGACGGGGAGCGGGUUUUGGGACGUAGGAGGAGCGAACAUGCCCUGUAUGUUUGUUGUGUAUUCAGCCCCGGAGCUUGUUUGUUUCCUCUCCGCGCGGGCCGCCCUCUCUCGCUCAGAAGUUGCCUUCUCCCUAGGGGCCUUGAGGUCCGCUCCGCGCUUGGGGUCAGGUCGGAAUAUGUAGCCGUGAAUCACACUGUCGCACACAAGGAGGCGUGCGCUCUUGUUUCACCCCUAUCUCCCUUAACCAACCAAAUCGCCGACCGACUCCCCCCCCACUCACUCCCCCCACUCACUCCCCCUUGUCUCUCCUGCAGAGCAAGCUGGCUCUGGAGUGGCGGCAGUGGAUGACGGAGCGGCUGCUGACCGACUACCUGGCCGACCGCACCUUCUACGGACUGCAGCAGAGCGGGGAGGUGGACAACCCCGACCAGCGCAUAUCCUCCGACGUGGCGUGAGUGGGGACUGGGGGGGGGAGGGGCCGGGGUGAGGGGGGUGGCUGUGGAGGAUUGGGGCGUACUGUUCACAUUCCAUCGCCCUCCCCCUCCUCCCCCCCUCCGGGUCCCCACCUGCCCCCCCUUACCCCCCCUUACUCCCCCCCACAGGACCUUCACGGACACCGCCAUGGGCUUGUCCCUGACACUGCUCAAUGCGGGAAUCGACCUGGUGUCCUUCUCCGGCAUCCUGUUCUCCAUCUAUCCGCCCCUGUUCGCGGCCCUGCUGGUGUACUCGCUGGGGGGCACUGCGGCGUCGGUGGCGCUGGGGAAGGUGCGUGUGUGGGGGGGGGGCCGAGAGAGGUAGAGAGAGAGAUUUGGGAGGUGGUAGGGGGGGUAGGGGGAAGGUGGGGGGAGGAGCUAGACACGCUUGACUGGUGUGGUGUGGUAUGGUGUGGUGUGGUGUGGUGUGGUGUGACCCNNNNNNNNNNNNNNNNNNNNNNNNNNNNNNNNNNNNNNNNNNNNNNNNNNNNNNNNNNNNNNNNNCCACCCCACCCACCCGCACCCCCACCCCCACCCGCACCCCCAGUCCCCCCCCACCCCACCCACCCACCCCACCCCACCAGCGCCAGGAGCACACGACCACGCACAGACCACCGCCGCCCAGUGCCUUCCCCCGCCCAGUGCUCCACCACCUCUCAACCAUCCGCCCUGACCAGCCCCGUUUCACAUAAUCGCCCGUCGCCCCCCUUGCCCCCCCCGGGCCCCCUCCCCUCCAGAACCUGGUGACCCUCAACUUCACACAGGAGGCUCGGGAGGCGGACUUCAGGUACGGGCUGGUGCGGGUGCGGGAGAACGCGGAGAGCAUCGCCUUCUACGGCGGUGAUCAGGAUGAGAAGGAGCUCUUGAAGCAGGUGGGCGGCAGGGGGGGGGUACGGAGGUAGGGGGGAGGGGGAAGACGGACCACGUGAACGAGUGAAGCUGAUGCAAAGGAUAGACAGGUACGCCAGAAGUAUGUAAGAAAUAACUAACCAGUUGCGAGUUGCGAAGGAGAGCUGUUGUGUAUCGGCUGUACGACUGUACGACUGACAUGAAAUCCGAUUUAAUAACUGGCUAAAGCACACCAGCUGGACACACAUACAUACAUACAAACACCUACCCUGGGUGAGCCCGCCGAGGUUGGAAACCAAGCUCACUCCGACUACCACCCUUGCUCCCUCAAUGAGCGAGGGCCUUAUUCCCCCCUCAGCUUGACACACCCAGGUUGUUGGGUUCCGGGGGUGGGCGGCCUCGCCGCCCUCCACCACCCGGUACUUGAUGACUCGUCCUCCUCCUCCUCCUGACCCCCCUCUACCCCCCUCUACCCCCCCCCCCCCCACACACACACAGCGCCUGCAAGCCGCCGUGUCCAACUACCUAGGGCUGUUGACCGCCUCCCGCAACCUGGACUUCUUCACCUCCUUCUACCGCUACCUCAUCCAGCUGCUGCCCGCCGCGGUGGUGGCACCCCUCUACUUCCAGGUGGGUGGGUGGCGGGGGCGGGGGGUCUCUUGCCACAUGACGACAACUGACCGCAACUCGCUGAGGGGGGGGCUGGGAGGGAGGACAGCUCCAAGGAGGGAGGGGGGCACCUCGGAGGGCGGGUUUGGGGGGGCCCUCGCCCCCGGGGUUGGCAAGGGGCAGCCGGGGGGCGGUGGGGGGGGGAACAUCUGGGUGCGGGGCCCGCACCGCGGCCGAGGGAUUGCUCGGAAGCUGCUAACGACCCUUCCAAGGUGCGAUACGGCAGUGUACGGCGCCGGGCCCUCAAUACUUGUGUUUAUGUGUGAAAUCCUGUCGUACGCAGGGUAAGAUCGAUUUUGGUGUCAUCAAUCAAAGUCAGUCCGCCUUCAACCACAUCCUGAACGACGUCUCCCUCGUCAUCUACCAGGUAGGUACGGCACCUGUACGGCAACCCAUUAGGAUUGCACUUAAGCUGGUCAUCGAGGGUUGCGAACUCAGCCGUGCAGGGGAGAGGGGCGGUGGUGGCCGCCAAGAUGUAGGCAGGCAGCGCGUACGACACGGACUCCAAAACCUCAGAUGCCGUACAUCCACUCCCUGUGGGUUCUUACCGACGCCUGCGGCAUUGUCGUGUGGUUGGGAGUGGGGCGGCACCUUGCGCCCCCUGCACAGUCGUACACGCGACUGACUGACCAUGUUGCUGACCCUCACAGCCGGUACGUCUUCAUCCGCCCUCGGACCACAGCCCCCCCCCCCGGAGGCCCCUACUCACAAGUCUCAUUGCAGAGCCCGCUCGGCGCCCUCGCGCUUUAACCGGCCCACCCACUGCCCCCCCGCUCCCUCCCCCCCCCACACACACACCUGCAACCCCCCCGCAGAUUGAGGCGCUGGCGGGUUUCAGUGCGGUGGUGGACCGGCUGGGGGAGUUCCAGGAGGCCAUGACUGUACGGCAGGACCAGCAGGCCAGACUGGCGCGGAUGGCGGGAGAGGAGCAGGAGGAGGGGAAUGGGACGGCGGGGGAGAGUGUGGUCGCGGCGGGAGUGCUGGAGGGGAACAGGCAGCAGCAGCAGCAGCAGCAGUCAGUGGCGGUUGGGGAGGCGGUUGGGGAGGAGGAGGCGGUGCCGCUCCCGGGCAUUCAGUUGCGCUUCCUGGGGAGUGGGGCGGGAGGAGGGGGAGAGGGAGAGGGUAGCAGGGGAGCCGUCAGCGGUCAGAGUCAUGAGGCUGUUGGACCCACGGGUCGGCCGGCCCUGUUGCAAAUACACGACUUGACAGUGGUCACCCCCCGGGGCAACAAUCUGUUGCUCCAGAACCUGGACCUGCAGGUAGGGUCUGUAUGUGUGCGUGUGUGUGUUCGAGCAUGCGGGGGCGAGUGGUGGUUCCCAUGGGGGGGUGUACACAGGGCCCCCGGUUCGCGAUGCGGCCACGCCGAUAACGAAACAGAUAUCUGCAGGUGUGGUGGUUAAAGUGGGGUCCAGACUCGUGAAGAGUAGAGCAGCAGGUGCGGUGUCCGGGGGCCCCCGCGAUAACCCGUCCCACCCGAGGGGAAAACACACCGCACGCACGCAACCAACCGCUCGGAACGUAUGCCCCACUCCGACCCUCUCAACAUUUCUUCCUCCCCCUUCCCCCUCUGGUACACUCUUGCCCUGGCAGCAGCUUCACUCAUUCGUGGUUCGUCUUUCCCCUCCCCCCCCCAUACCCUCCCCCCAGGUUUGCCCCGGCUCGUCCCUACUUGUGAUGGGGCCCAGCGGCGCGGGUAAGACCAGUUUGUUGCGGGCAGUGGCCGGGUUGUGGUGCGAGGGCCGAGGCCGCAUCGAGCUGGGGGCGGCGCGUCGGGAGGUCAUAUUCCUGCCGCAGCGGCCGUACAUGGUCCUGGGCUCGCUCCGAGACCAAGCUCUGUACCCCAGGUACCAAGGGGGGAAUGUACGGCGGAACAUGGGACGUGUGCGGAGGGGGCCAAGCGCGCGGAAGAUCGCCGAUUAGAUUUGCGGCGGAAGCGAGGGCGGUAUCGCGCGGCUAGGACGUGAGGCUAGAUGUCCCCCUGGGGGGUUGCGGUCCUGCGGAGUCGGGCGGGCGGGGGAGGAACCGGGCACUUCGGGGGCUGAAAGGUGCCUGUGUUUCUGUUUGUGUUUGUACAUGUGUUUGAUGUAUACAUAUAUGUAUGUGUGUGUGAGUGUGUGUGGAAAUGUCUAAGCUGCGCUUCUAGCGGUAGCUCUUAUAUAGGCCUUACGACUUGGAGGGUUGGGGGCAUGUGCUGGAGGCCCCGGGACUGUUAGCUCCUGCCUGUUCGGACCCUAGGGUAUCUCGGCCCGGAUCUGGCCCGCCCAGCCGUGUAUUCCCCCGCCUGAGGGCAGCACCCGGGGGAGGAGCGGCAGGGGUAUGUCCGGCAAGGGCCUCCAGCAUCCCGACUAACUAACAACCCUCCCGUGCACCCCUCGCGGCUGCGGCGGCGGCUGCAGGCACCUGCACCAGUGAUUUUUUUCAUUUAGGGCGGGUCUCAAUUUAUUCCAACCUAAGUAACAAAGUUGCUAAGAUCGCCGUAAUGUAUUCCUUAAGUGUAGGGCGCUGGGGGGGCCUACGCCCCCCCGGACAAGUUACAACUCCCCUCAUAGACCAAGAGGCACGCACUGCGUUGGCGCGUUUUCGUUCAUGUGCGCACUCUUCAUAUGCACAUGCAUAGAUAGUUCUGGCACUGUUUGUGAGCAAUAAGUAAAUCCGACCAAGCAAAGGCCCAAAGCAAGCAACCGCAUAGCAACAAAUCACAGGCCGCCACCCGCCGCUGCAAACCACAGCACACUAGGACUCUACCGGUUCAUCAUGUUCCGGCCCCUGCUGCUGCUGUCCAGCCACUUCCUCAGUGCGUCAAGGAACGGGAACGUGCCCAGGUCGAACAGGCCUGGGUAAACAUCCGCACACACAAUGCUAGGUGCUCGUCCAGGCGGUUGCAGGUGGGGUCCUGCAAGUACCCCAUGGCCGAGAACCCCUCAUAUCUAUUCUAUGAUUGAUAAUACUAACUUCUGCACAAUACGGAGCAAUCUGGCAGCAAUGGACGUUUUUGGAGGAAUGAAAAUGUACGGAUCGACCACAAUUCAUUCCGUUUUUCCAAAGGCCAAAAUGGCCUGUUUAUUCCUUUUAAGGAAUAUAAAUUACUUACUAUAAAAGCCACUGACCUGCACGCGACGGAAACCCGCACCGCGGCCAUUCAUCUAGCCGACCAGACAAUCUCCACCCCACCCCACCUUCUCUUCCCCCCCGUCGUCUCCUCUCGUAUCGUUCUUUGUCCCCCAUCUUCCCCCCUACCUCCCUUUUGUCCCCUCAUCGCCUUCAUAUCGCAUGAUGUAGCUCCUCUCCCCCCCUUCCCUCUCUCCCCCGCCUCCCGCAUCAGGCGCUGUGGUGAAAUUGGAGAGCCCGCAGCGACUGGUAGGGAACCUGCCCUCAGCGAUGAUGGCAACAGCACCUCCACCUCCUCCGCGCCCUCCUCCGCGCCCUCCUCCGCGCCCCCCGGUGGGCAGCUGCCGGAUGACUGGGAGGUGUUGCGGGUGUUGGAGCUUGUGCAGCUGGGGCACUUGCUGACCAGAUACGGUGAGGAUGUGGGGGGUGGGUGAGAGAGUGUGUGUAAGAGUGUGUGAGAGUGUGUUUUAAUGAUAAGAGGGGAUGCCGAUGGUGGUGGUGGUGGUACACUAAUAUGUUUACAGAAAGUGAGCUCCGUAGUCACCAGUAACGUGUUAGAGUUUUCCAAUAAAACCGUAGACGUAGCUGCCACUCCGCAGCCCCUCCAUCCGGGGAUGGCGCUGCAGUGAAAGCACCACGAAGGGCUCUCAGGUCCCGCUAGAGCGAGUCCACAAGUCUCAGCUAGGGCAAAGUCAAAGGCUCUCUGAACAACCCCCCAAAACACAACCAACGACAAAGGGAUCCCAAGGGAGAAAAAAAGCAAAAAAAUGUAUACCACCACCCUGUAAACUGCAGGUUGGUAUAGCUUCACCAGCGGCCCCCUUUCCCUUGGAGACAGUUCCCUGCUCUCCCCUGCCAGAGGGGCACCCUAAUCCGUCACCCCAUCCGACUUCAGAAUGUAUUCGUUGGGUUCAGCAACUCACGACCAGCAUCCAACCAAAUCUAGCGGAUCAACGGCGCCUCAACUUAGUUCCUGGUCAGCUCGCAAGUUGAUAUUAUCACGUCCUACACCGUCCAUAAGAUGGGGGCCACCUCCCAUUUCAACACUUCUCAAACACCCGAGAAGUCGGCAGGCGUAUGUAUGUAUGUAUGUAUGUAUGUAUGUAUGUAUGUAUGUAUGUAUGUAUGUAUGUAUGUAUGUACGUAUGUGGUGGAGGAGGUGGGGUUGACAAGGAUUAGCAAGCAGAGGAGCACAAAGCCCAAACCUACAGGUUUAGCAAAAGGCUGAAUCCGUGACUUUAAGGCCUUUGCUUAUCGCUGCCUGUUUUCCAAAAUGUAAAUGAACUGCAUUUCCGUUUCCCUCCCCCGGGGGGGGGGGCGUCAGGGCCGCACUCCUCCCGCACAGCCACCGCCCCGGGACGUGUCAGCAGCAACGGCAAUGGUAACAAAGCCAACGGUCUCAACGGUACCGGACAAGGCGCCGCAUCUGCCAGCGGGUCCUCGGAGGCGGCCGCCUCAUCAUCAUCAUCAUCAUCUGCUGCUGCUGCUGCGGCCUCCGUCCUUGAUACCGUAGCGGACUGGUCUAGCUGCCUGUCACUGGGGGAGCAGCAGCGCCUGGGCUGGGCGAGGCUGCUCCUAUCUCGGCCCAAGCUGGCAUUGCUUGAUGAGGCAACCAGCGCGCUUGAUCAGGAUACGGAGGCGAGGCUGUACAAGGUGGGCCAUGGACGGGAACGUGGGCCGGCGGGCGGUGGGACAUGGGCAGCCGAGGGAUGUGCGAAGGAAUGGAUAAAAGAUGCCGCCUCCUGGCCCCUUGCGCUCCGGGGAUUUUGGGCGAAUUGAAGGCCUGUACGGCGCGGCCCGGAGCUUCCUGCCCCUUGUCCAUCCCAUCACUCCCCGCAUCGCCGCUACCGACACCUUGUUCCUCCCUUCCUUUCCCUUCCCUCUAGGUUCUUCAGCAGUCGGGUAUCACGUACAUCUCGGUGGGCCACCGCUCCACGCUGCGGGAGUUCCACAAGACAUUGCUGCAGCUCAGACCCGACGGCGCGGGCGGGGUGGCGUGGGAGGUACGGCAGCUGGCCGAGCCGCAGGUCGCGGCUGAGGCUGAGGCUGCCACCGUGCGGGUGACCGCUCCCUAGGGGGGCCCACGGCUGAGACAGUGGACGACACGCGGACACGCACCCCCUUUCUUUUAAAAUUGUAUAUUUCAAAUAGAUAGACACCAGCACCAGAGCGGAAGCAGCAGCGGAGGCAGCAACAGAGAGGAAGAAUUACAAGAGCAUGAGAGAGGUGGAGGGAUGCCUGAGAGGGAGAUGAGGGCGGAAUGAGGGAGGGAGGGAAGCUGGAGGCACGCGAGUGAGCGGCGCGAGUUCGGGUAACGGUUCUGGACAUUGCGGAGCUUCUGAGGGCGCAGACAAGGUCCCGUGCUUGGAUGACGUCGUGGUGAGCGAGCAAAGGGAGCGAGGACCCGGUCUUUCCUCUUUUGCCGCUCUUGUGGGGGAAAGACCCACCUUGGAUGGCCGCCUGCAUUGCGUGGCCUUGGCCUCGGGGCCGGUGCGCUGCAACACACGGGCUGCGACCAGUCGGGGUUAGUUGGAAGUGAGAACGCUCCGUCAGCAUCAUCGCCCCACCCCAGGGCGGCGAGCGUGCCGUGAUUGUACAUUUACAUGUAAUGUAGGUGCAAUGCGUCGAUGUGUGAAAAACGAAUGCUACAUGUGUUACGCUUGGAGAGUGAAUGUCGUGUGGUGUUGUUGUGUGGAUAAAAAAUUGCACUCGCGUGUGCAGGUUGCAUGGGCCGCGUCAUUCAGACCGGCCCGCUAUUGUGUUGUACAUUUUGAGUUGUUCAUGGGCAAAUCUGAAACCCUGACCUGGACAGUCCAUGAAACAAGUCCAUGUAAUGAUGUAUCAUCUGUGCGAGGUUAGUGUCCUCGUGUGUACGGCUGAUCGUGGUGAGAGUGACCACAGCGAGUCGACAGAGCACUUGCAUUGCUCGCGACGAUGAUGCAGUGCUUUUCGUGUUGCGCGGGUGUUAUUGCCGGUCGAUGAUGGUGACCUCGUAGCCCAUAUUGUACGAAUACACCUCUGGGAAAAGUCUUUGUUGGCCUAUUGGGAGCCUGGUACACAUCCUUCGCGUUGGUUUGUAUCAUCCUGGCGUAGUCUGGUCAUGAAAGGGGUUGGUUUAAAUUACUCCUUUCAAUUCCCUUCGACUGAUGGAUGUUUGGCAGUUUGGCCUGGCGAUGAGAACUCAAUACAUUGUGGGGUCACGUCCCUGUCUGCUCUCUCGCACAGGCAACGCGAGCAUACCUGUCUCCACCCAUAUGAGUCGAAAGCCAUGUUAGGGGUAUGCAGGAGAGCCUCAUUCACUGUCACACACGCCAUGAGGCAUCAUGGCAUCACCGCCUCUACCCAGGAUCUCUAUCUCUCUCUUUCUCUCUCCCUCCGCUCGACCUCACCAACGCGGUCAACUGGCCCGGAGGAGCGCCAGCUGUGUCACCCAACCAAGCUAGCCGCUACACAGCGACCCGAUAAUUGCAGCAAGCGCUGAUAUCAAUGAAGACGGACAAACAGGUCACGGCCUCAAGGAAACAGGCUGCCAAUAAAAACUCACACGCCUCUUCUGCCAGCCUGUCCGACCGAAUCCACCCCGUCACUCUCCCCACCACCGUCAAUCUACGGAUAGAGGCAGCAAAACUUAUAUAAUGCAGCGCCAGAGCGCAGCCCCGUCUGGGUCGCGCCCCUGCACCGCUAGUAGCUACAAACAAACUGCCGUGACGUUUGAUGAGACAACCGUCGCGCUGAAUGCGGGAGAAGAGAUUAUACCUCGCAACGGUCACUCGGCGAGGUUGCGUGGUGCCAAAAGAACACCACACGCACUUCGGGAUGAUUUUGCCGCCGAACGAAGCAGCAAAACGUCUUUUGCGUGUGCAGCACAUUGACGGGAUGCAAGCACUCAACCCACUACUACAUUGAAACCGAAAACCACUCUCACCAGUUCAGUGCACAAACGUUCAAUACAACGCGCAAAGCCACCACAGCCACAACGUGUGCUAUAAAAUGGAUGAUACAUGAAAGCCGUUGGCGCAGGCGUUGGCGUGCGAUGACGAGGGUUUGCAUAAUGUCAUGGUCAUGAAGGGAGGGAGAGGGAGGGAGGAGAGGGGUUUGUCGGUCAAAACGCACGCACGCCACCGCCCCCUUGGUCCACAUGCGAAAAAUAUCCACCCAGCCAACCGAAUAUGGCCCCGGGUCUUUCCCCGCGAGCUAAAGAACCUCCGGUCGCAGCCAGGUUUUUUCUGCAGCAUGAAUCGCGGCGCCUCAAUGUUCGGAAGAAUCCUUGUGGCUAUCGUGUAGUCAUUUUCACCGUCGGCUCCGUGGGGGCGGAGGAGUUGUGUCCAAAGAGUAAUUCGGUCAUUCGGUCAACGUCGAAUGGCACGGGUAAGGAAAAUCGGCGCUUCAUGCACUUCACACUUUCACGCCACUGCGCCUGCGUGCCAGUCAAGACUUCGGGGGGCACAAUAAUGCUGAUGACACCAUACAAAAGAGACUUAAAAGACGCACUGAUACACUGAUAGCAUAAAAGAGAUUCAACUUUGCCCUCCCCUCCGUCGCCGUCUGGAGAAACAACACUAAUGCCGAGCCAAAGAAUAGCGCUGACAUUCGCUGGCCUUGCCGACGCUUGCUGGACCCUCCGUCCUUUACCUUAAUCAAAGCUGUCAUAGAACUCUCACCACCACCACCAGCACCACCGGAACGAAAACACACAACAGCUGCUGCUCGCGCCUUACGCGCACACGUCCAAUGUCACUCCUACCACCCCAGUGACCCCCGGGCGCUUCCUUGCACCUGUCCUGCAGUAUGUCACCGCCGGCCCGCCUCCUUCCUCAUCCAGCUGUCCCUUGCCGCUCCGAUAGCUACUAGACCACCGCCACGCAACCAUGGAGCACUUACGUACGGGGGUCUUAAAGGCCGACCAGGGACAUUUCCUCCCCGCGGGCCCGACACCGUGUAGGGCCCGACGGGGAUACAGACCGGACCAAAUUACCUCCAGCAUGCCGCUAGCUUUGCAGCGGAUCCCGCCCCACAUGGUGCAGCAGCAGCCCGCCCCGACAGUGAAGCUAGCGUAGCAUUGUUGCCCAUGCACGCAACAUGUCGGCGGUACAACGGAACACGGUAAACCGCUGUGGCGCCCCGCAUUUCGGACAAGGCGCUUGCCCCCGGCCCAUAGCUAGGCCCCCAGUCUUUCACAAGGCUGGUUGCUUUGCGGCUUAUGGAGUGCUCCCUAACGCCCCCUAACGCUGCACUGAGGGCGCCUCGCAGGACUAGCCGUCCUCUUCCUCGUCAUCAUCGCGUGCCUCCUGGUCCCUCUGCCUCUCCCGACCUCGCUCCCGAUCCCUCUCCCGCUCGCGCUCCCGUGGCACCCUGCCAUACUCCGUCCGGCCACGUUCACUGCCACCGCACGCGCCGCCACCACUGCCGCCCCGCUCCCGGACGCCCCCGCAUCCACCGCCGCCUCCAGGCCCCAUGCGCCCACCAUGCGAGGUGCCGUGCUUCGUCGAGUGCGUCCCAUUCAAAGCUGCCACUGCGCCGGAAGCCAAGCCUCUCGGGCGCUUCUCAACCUCCAGGUCGCUAAUUGCGGUUCCGGGGUGCUCCUCGGAGCUGCUCUUAUCGGAGUGUCUGUGGCGCUUAACGGGCUGCUCGUCGUCGCUGUCCCCGCGGAGUAGUCCACGGCCGCGGCCGCCGUAGUGGCCGUAGCCGUUGCGGUCCUUGCGGUCCGAUAUCUGCGCGGGGGAGGGGGUGUUAGCGUGCAUGUAUGUGUGCGACCUCUGUCUCACGAGCACAUCCUGGGGAUAUAUGUGCAAGUAAGACCAACCACCGAUAUAUCCAAGCAUCUCAGCGGCCCGGUGGCCUUGAGACCUAGAACCAUGCCGCAUCGAGAGGACGGAAGGGAGCGCACAUGCUGGAGCCAGCCAGCGUGACGCGUGGGGACCAAUCAGCAAACACACACACACAUAGAGCAAGAGGCGCAUGGGAUUGAUGGAUUGCACGCUCAGCGAUGUGGGGGACGUGUCGCACCUCGGUGCGGAGGAAGCGCAGCUCGUCCCGCAGCCGCUCGUUCUCCUCCUUCAGCCGCUUGUUCUCGUCUUCGAGCGAUUGCGUGCGCCGCUCAAGUGAGGUAAGCUGCUGUUCCAUUUCUCGUCGCUCGUCCUCCAAGAUGUUCCGCUAUCAGGUUGCCGAGGACAGAUGAAUUGAAAGGGGUUUCGCAAGGAUGAAUGAGGGUUUUCCUUGCCUAUACUUAUUCCUUUUUAUAACAACUUCACAUUAUCAUCAUAUUCACAAUGCCUUAAAGAGUCUGAGAGGCCAACGACCGCUCCUUGCGGUUCCCGACAAGCAUGGAAGCCCGAACAUACUAAACCGACCUACCUCUUCCUCCAGUUUGCUGAGAUGCUCCUGCUUUCGACGCCGAGACCGUCUAGCCGACUCGCGGUUACUCAGCAUUCUGCAAGCACAAGUGUAAGAAUUAACAAACACAAACGUUGCUUGUCGGAACGGGAAAACUCACCUUCGUGCACGCCUUUGAUCCACUUUGUCCAUGUCUUUAUCAGAACUAACUCCACCUGCUGUUGAGUUGUUGGUCAACCGCGCGCCUAGGGACCCGAGCUGUCCGAGCUGCAGAGCUGCCGCGGCAGCAGCAGCAGGCGUGAGGGCUGCUGUCAGGGGGUUCGCCUGGGCUGCAAAGGCCGGUACGGCUUGAAGAGCUGCUCCUCCAACAGCCGCAAGUGAUGCCAGAUCCGAAAGCGCAGGUAGCCCCGGAAGGGGGUAACCCGCGGGUAACGGAGGGGCCGCAGGUAAAGCCACAGGCGCAGGCAAAGGAGGCACCGCGGCUGCCGCCUUCAGGACAUCCGCUGGCUCCGGAACGCGGAAUGCUGAAGCUCCUGUUGAUGACGGAAGUGCUUCAGCCUUCACUGCAGGUGCUGCAGCCGCUGCUGGUGCUGAAGAAGCUGGGCCUGGGUAGUGAACGAGCUGCCUCAGCAGCUCCAGCGAUGGCACCCGUGGAAUACCGCCCACAGCAGCAGCAGCUGUUGUUACUACGUCAGAUAGAACCACAGAAGGAAGCGACGAGGUUGAGGCGACCGGCUGUGAAGAAGUUCCACCAGCAUUCUCUGCAACGGCCGCCGCAAGGUUUGUGGUUGAAGGUAUUCGCUUCAAGAACUCUUGGAAAGCUGCCUCGGAGUCUGUGCGGCCCAUCCCGGCCUGACCAAGUCGCCAGAACCCGCCUAAGAGGUCAUCGACGCUAGUUUGUCUCUCCAUAGCGCUCAUCACUUGUUCGUUAUACUUGAAAGCAGGAUGAAAAAGCAACACCUGUACAAAAAGUUGGCAAAAGUUUUUCCCGAGUGCGAGCUGGGUUAGGGAAUCGCGCCCAGCGUCUGACUAGAUGACACGUCGCCUUGCGUACAACCCCCGUACUUCUCCUGCGCUUACUGGGAUAUGGGAAGCCGAUGCGUUGUCGAGUAUCCGCGAACAAAUGUAAAGGAGACCAAGAAUGCACUAACGUCCACGUACUUUGAGCAAGUGACCGCUGGCCUGCUCGUCUAAUCCAUGAACAAAGGUGACGACGUCCUUACUUCAUAAAACAGGUCCUAAGAGUCACAAAUAUGAAUCAGUUCACCAUUAUUUCCUUGGACCCUUGCCACUGUUGCGAGCUGGGCAAUCCAUAUUGCGGCACGUUGCUCAACUUAUGCACUUUGUACGACGUUUUAGCUACCGCGUGUCAGUUGUUGAGGUGCAUAAGACGCCGUCACGACUGUCUGCGCUGCAUCGCGCACAGUCAGGAAUCGGUAAACAUCUGGACAUCUUUCGAGCUGCGGACUUUUUCCUCAGGGGUGCACAAACCCCCCAACCUCUUCCAGCAACAGCAAUUUGUCUUAUACGAGGAAGCGGGGAUGGAGGCUACACAUGCAUUCAUUUGUUUGAUGUAUAUCCUAGUAACGGUAAAGUGCCAGCAUAUGUUGAUGGUGCUCCAAAGCCCAAUCCUACCUCCCCAACAGCCUCAAGACGCGGAGAUGCCACAUUCGCCAAUUGCAGGGAGUUAAAACGGCCCAUGGGUCCUGCGCCAGUCUUCGGAAAAAGAGUGCAAGGCAAUGAACAAGACGUAGCAAUAGAUAAAGGGAAUGACAUUCAAGGUUAACCUUUCGCAUCGGCAUGCGCGCCAAAUAUCCUUUGUGGCUUGUCUGUCAGGAAUGAGCUCUCCUGUCCAACAAUUUAAGUCCCGUUAUGUACCUCUCUUCCAGGCAUCCUCCAAACACCGCCCUCCUCUCGUACCAAUCCUCUCCCGCCAUGAAUACUAGCACCCGCACUUGAAGCUCUACUGGUCCCUUAUGGCACUUAGCCAACGACGAUGGCUGAUGUCUUUCCGGUACGAGCAGUUGCGGCUCUUCCCGUCACCACGUCCCGAUUUCGGUCAAACCGGACAAGACAGGAAAGACAGGACCGGCUUCCACCAUCACUUUCAUGUUCACGGCGGGCGGGUCCACUUGAUCGCCUAACAUCACUAAGUACAGCUCCAGAGACACAGAGACGCGCCGGCCAGCUGCAUGUCACGCAGCCUGUCUGGCUCGCUAUGCCCCUAACCCAUCAUCACCCUCGAAUAUGUGCUCAUCCGCAGGCACCGGAAUUACAUCCUCGUCCUCCGGGAUGAUGUCUUGGCCGUCCUGACCAUCGCCCUUAGCCUCGUGCCCCUCCACCGCACCACCUGCCGCAUCCCCACCAGCCUCCCCGCCGCCCUGCUCCUGCUCCUGCUGCCCCUCACGCCCCUCUCCAGCACCUCCGCCUGCGACCUCCUCGCCUUCCUGCCCGCCCGCCGCCUGCAAAGCACCACCGGGGCCCCCGCCGGCCCCAUCCCUGCCGCCACCGCCGCCCCCGGCACCCCCACCGCCAGCUCGCCCUGGGUGGCCGCCUUGCGUCCUCUGCCGCUUGAAGUCCUGCCGACUGCCGCCACCCGCGUCCAUGCCUAUACCCAUCUGCUCCAUCAUCUCCGCCUGCAUAAGUUUGCCGUAGCCGCCCCGGCCCGGGUCGUAAUCCUGACGGAACUCGUCACGCACCUGGGGGCAGGGGGCAGCAUGUGUAUGACACGGGGCAGGGGGGCCGCGGCGGGUUGCAGGGGGGUCGGUCCAACGUGAAGCCAUAACGACGGAACAAACGACACCCCCCCUCCAGAACAUCCACCUCCUGGUACGAUUACACAGCUUCACACAGCUUCAUGAAAUAUGAAGUAAAAGUAACCUUGCUGUCUUACCGGAUGGAAGUUCUCGGCAAUUGGAACCGCUGGCAAAGCCAGACGAUGUGUGCGUUCCCUACCAACCUGCCCGAAGCUCGGGAGCCCCGUGGAUUGCACAUUUCAGGCUUCACAUUGCAAUCCCAUCUGCAGCUCUCGCCUAAUCCCCAAGCCUACAAACCGCCAGAUGCCGCCAAGCAGCUGAGCAGGUCAGGUCUCCUACCCCUUCCACAGCUCCUGUCCCACCUGGCCGCCCGAGCGCCCCCGACCGUACUGCCGCCCCUCAACGAAGCCCCAGUCCAAAUCCACACGGAUCGCUCGGUCGUCCACCAGGGUGCCGUUCAGGAAGGCGACCGCUUCCUCCGCGUCCUGCAGGUGAAGAGCGUGCAUGGCGAGCCCUGGAUAAGAGUCAAGCGAGCGAUGGGCAGGCGUGUGUGUGUGUGUGUGUGUGGCUAGGUGGGCUGAAGGGUGCGGAGCAUUGCAAGCUGGCUAGGCUGAGCCGACUUGGCAGUGGCCCCCGGAGCCCCCCGACCAGCGCCAGGCGCUACCUUUCUGGUGUAGUAGAUGGCGAAGGCGAAUCCGCAAGGGGUCCUCUGGAUCUUGUCCAGGCCCAUGACGAUGCGCUUGAUGUGGCCCACCCGCCCGAACACAUCGUACAGCUGCUCCUCGCGAGUGGUGAAGGCGAGGUUGCCGACAUAUAUCGUUGUGCUCGUUGCUAGCGCAUUCUCCCAGUCGGUCUGAGCAGAUCCAGGGGCAAGCACAGCGGGGUGGUGUACUUGAUGCGGGCUGUUGUAGGGUCUAAGGACACGGCCGUCCACAUAGGACGUACAUCCCUCCUUGCCUCCGACCCCAAUUCGCGAGGUGCUGCACGGGCGUACCGGAGAUGCAUUAGCAUAUGGGUUCAAUGCUCAGAUCACAGCAGCUGGGACUGUGACACAGUGAAGGCCCCUCUGAUUGCGCUGGCAAUGUCCCGAACCCUGGGUUACAUUGAUUUCCCAUAAAUAGUUAUGAUUGCUCCUGCGUGUGAGUUAAUGAGCUCCCCCAAGGACAUGUUGGGAGGGGACACGCCGGCUAGGAGUUUGACGACGGCGCCAACUCCCGGACCCGCCACGUAAUGAGACGUAAACGCACCUCGCUGCCUUCGAAGCGCCUAUCUCUAUAUUGUGUGAUUGCCGGAUUCAAGACCUGCAUCGUGCUUAAAGUCAGCGGCUGACAGGAAAAGGAGCAUAGAUGUAGAUAGCAGAUUCAGUCAGCUGACCUUAAGCAGCUUCGACAUUUACUGUAUCAAGAUGUUAGCCUCAUACAGUUAUGCUGAGCGGCGCAGUCUGCGUCUCCUACAGCCAAUUUGAAGUCGACUUACUCGGGCUAAAGUGUUCAAAACUGUAUAAUUUAUUGUACAUGUGUCGAUAUGUACAAGGGUGCCCGUAAAUUCCGCAAACUUCCAAUUGUUGAGAAACUACUUCGUACGUGCAUAAUGCAACGGCUUCAACCGGCUGGCUCUGGGCAUCUGACGUCCUGAACCUCCGAUUAUAUAAAUCUUCAAAGCUCUGAAGGUCUUCCUCUGUCCACCUGAUUACUGCAAAUUCCAGCAGGGUUUUAGAAUCUCUAAGCUCUCCGUAACUACCCCGGGACCCGGUACGUAGUCCUCGGCACGGCCGAGCAGCAUGCUGUCCAUCUCCAAUCGGCUUCGGAGGUCCCGAGUAUUGAGUAUCCUAAGCAAGAGGGGUCCGGAAGAAGAGUUAGCUUCCCGACGUUUGCUGCGACAAUACUUCGGCAGCCGUCCCUAGCCUAGUCUCUCGCACCACUUCGAAUCUCCCUCCUCCGUCUGCACAAGAGCGGCAACUCGCAUAUCCAGCACAUACAGGGCCCGCAAGGGCAGUUAAGACCCGCAGGCGGCCCAUGCACGGACAGCAUUUGGCCCACGACCAGAGGUAGCACUGCACCCUCCGGAAUGAGGGCAGGGCAAUGGGGCCCUAUACCGUAUAUUACAUAUACAGUGCGACAUUUAAACACACUUCCUGGCGUCAACUGUGACAUUAAAAAACUUUUCAAUAGGCCCCUGGUAAUCUGAUGGUCGGAGGAUCACCGAAAAUCCUGGAGGUGGUCCCAUAUGAAGCCCGAAACCUGACUGCCCCCAAAAGCCGAAGGAGCGCCAUAACCGCAUGCCGUACAAAAAACGGCAAUCUCCUCUCCGACCUCUCCUCUCCGACUUUAUUGUGACACGGCCAUCACACUUAUUAACCGUCAUGAACACCCCCCGGGGGGUCUAUAUCGGGGUCCACUUGCCCUCCCAAGAAGCUGAAGUCCGAAGUCACACAGCAGGCUACAUCAGGCCAAAUGUCACCGUCGAAGGAAGGCGUCAGGGUGGGUGGAUGCAAGGCGUAUGGCACCUCCUCCCCCGGGGCCCACCAAGCUCCGCCGUUUCGCACAACAAAAAACCCCACACGCCUGCCCCCACCGCCAAAAGAGUCAAUCGCGGUUGCCGGGCCCCAAGGCCCCCCAAGGCCAUGACCCUCAUCAAAGUACAUCUUAGCGGUCGCAAGGGCCCCCACAGAGCAGAAAGGGACACAUGGGCGCAACCAGGCGCCGCAAGGCUGAAAAUGCUGUUGAUGCCGGUGAUGAUGGUGAUGAUGAUGAUGUCAACGCCGAUGAGCUGCUCUUACCGGGCUCCAGCCUCUCCACUCCCCGUGCAAGGGGCAGGAACAGGCGGCGCAGGCAGCCGCGGCUGACUGGCGGCUCGGCAUUCAGAAACCAGCCCUGCAAAGUUGGUGACACCACAGAGCCCCAACGGCCUGAAGUUGACCGGGAGUGAGGUGAGGGCAGUGAGGGGCAGCAGUUUCCGGGAUGGUGCAGGGUUCAGCCGGAGGGCAACACAUCUCAAGCAGAGAUCAAUAGGAUAGGAGGCAGAGAGGAUGGCGGCAUGCAGAGGGCAGCAUGGCACUUAUGGUGUGCGGACCGCGUGCAUGCAAAAGUGUGAAGCAGGCUGGGAGAUGCGGCAGCUAUGACAUGCACGGCACGGUCUACAGCACACGCAGGCCACACACACAAGCAUGCACACACAUGCAGGCACACACAGGCACACACGGGGGUCGCCACCACAUGUCCCUACAACAGGAAUGUCCACAGCAAAAAAGCACAUUGUGCCGCGGCGUGCUUGCUUGCUUCCUUUUUCACCAACACGAGACAUAGCUUGAAAGUAUAAUCCAAGAUACAAGAUAACAACGGCCACAGCAACAACAAAGAAUGACAAUCACAGGCUCUGACUUCAAAACAGAAGGGCAGCAGCAGCCCGACCUACCGCGAUAUCGCUGCCAGGGGGAGGUGUCGUGGACCACCGUGGGCAGGGGAAAUGGCGACCGGCGGGCCCCAUGCAGCCCCCCACCGCCAUCACCGUCGUCCAGAUGGCCACCUCCUCUCCCCGCCGGCACCGCCUCCCCAACGGAAGGGGGGAAAGCUCCCUGGGCCGCUUGGCUUCCUGGAUCCACCCUUGAUGAUACUGCCAACCCUGUCAUCAGCAUCACCUCCGGCUCUAGCAUUGCGGUCGGCGGCAGCCCUCCCACUUUACCUACCGCCACCGGCCCCCUUCCCUCCUCCUCCUCCUCAGCCUCGCCAGGUACCGCUGCCCCCUCAGUGCCGCCCGCGAGCACCACCGAAUCGCAGUAGCCCCAAUGGCGACCCCAACCCGCAGUAGCCCCGGCGGCAGGUGGUGGGUGCAGGAGGCGGCAGGUGGGCGGAGGUGGACCGCCGCUGCACAGGGGGGAUGCAUGUGGCAGGCUGCAUCCCCUGGACCGUACGACAGGGCACCCAAAGCCGUGAGCCUGUGGUGUGUUGAAAAGGAUUCCAUUCAGGUCUUGCUUGUGCGUGCGUGUGUGUGUAUUGAGUUCUGUGAACAUUACAAGUAUCUGACCGGGCCCGACACUGGCCAGGGACUGCUGCCCAGCCCCAACAUGUGUGUGCAUGCACGUGUGUAUGCAUAUAUGUGUGUGUGCAUGUGUGUGUGCAUGUGUGUGUCUGGGGCAGCAAAACUGCACUGACAUAUCCCCGUCAGUGUGGUCCACUCGGUGGUGUCAUACAUGGAUGCAGCCAGGGUGGUGGACCGCAUCCACUUAUGGGCUGAAACGGCCAUGAGGGAAUCGGUGGACAAAUGCCAGACUAAAGCUCUGCCUGGUUUGGGUUGACACUACUGUAAUUAGCAAUUUCAGGUCCUGGGUUCGAUUCCCGGGAAGACUCCCGGAUUAGUCGGGAGCGUUAGAUUAUGGCUAACCGCUGAGAUGUGGAGUUGAGGUCACAGUUGAUGGACCAGAUUCGCACGCUGGAUCGGUGGCGAUUGCCAAACCCUCCGUCUCUUCGGGUGUUCGGGUGAAUGGAUGAGGGGGAGUCCUGAAGGCUGGAUCCGCUGCAUUGGACUUACAGUUCGUAUGGUGAAGUACAGUGUGAUGGUGGUGGAUGGUGCUAUAAGGUGAUAAAGUCGUAGAACUGUCAAUGUGAUAAAGCGGCCCAGAAGCCUUCCAC